rnacentral:rRNA from 1 species
GACGAACGCUGGCGGCGUGCUUAACACAUGCAAGUCGAACGGAGAGGCGCCGUCCUUGUUGGUGGGUGUGGAUGAGUGGCGGAGGGGUGAAUAAGAGGAUAGUAACCUUCCCCCUUCGUCAGGAUAACCGCAUGAAGGUGUGGCUAAUACGGGAUAUUCUGAGUCUGUCGGAUGAUUGGUCUGGGACGGAUAUUGUUUCGGUGGGGGAUGGGCUCGCGGCCUAUCAGCUUGUUGGUGGGGUGAUGGCCUACCAAGGCGGUGAGGGGUAGCCGGCCUGAGAGGGUGGGCGGACACAGGGGGUGAGAGACACGGCCGAGACUCCUACGGGGGGCAGGAGGGGGGAAUAUUGCACAGUGGGAGAGAGUCUGGUGCAGCGGCGCCGCGGGUGGGAUGGAGGCCCGCGGGUUAUGAACCUCUUUCGCCAGUGAAGCAGGUCUGCCUGGUAUGAGGGUGGGUUGACGGUAGCUGGAUAAGAAGCGCCGGCUAACUACGUG